rnacentral:tRNA from 1 species
GGGGCUGUAGCUCAGUGGUAGAGCACUUACCUAGCAUGUAUGAGGCACUGGAUUUAAUCCUCAGCAUCA